GGAGGGCCAGUAGAGAAGACUGUCAGAAGAGAAAGGCAGACCUGGUGGUCAUCAACAGCAGAGAAGAACUGAACCAGGUUUCCAGGUUUGACAGCAGAUUGAUGGGUUCUUCCUGGAUUGGACUGAGUGAUCAAGAGAAGGAGGGGACCCUCAAGUGGGUGGAUGGUACCCCCAUGACCUCAAGUUGGAGACACGUUAAACCACGCGAUGACGGCGGAGCAAGAGACUGUGUCGUAGCAGGGG